rnacentral:lncRNA from 1 species
UUCUUAUGCCUAGGGUUUAGCUCUUGCUGGAACCCACCAAGCUAAAAAAAAUAAUCCAAUUUUCAUAUGCCAAAUAUCCCCCACCUUUCGAAGAGAUUGGAUAAACCAAAAUAGCAUGAUAAACCUAACUUGAUAGACAAAAAAAGUAAUGUUGGAUUAUGAUUAGAAAAUAAAGUGGGCAAGAAUAAGAGCGAAGGUCAGUCUCAUCUUGGCCUCCACACAUUGCCA